rnacentral:rRNA from 1 species
CGCGUAGGCGGGUUUCCAAGUCGGGGGUGAAAUUCCAGGGCUCAACCCUGGGACGGCCUUCGAUACUGGGAGCCUGGAGAUCGGGAGAGGUGAGUGGAAUUCCGAGUGUAGAGGUGAAAUUCGUAGAUAUUCGGAGGAACACCAGAAGCGAAGGCGGCUCACUGGCCCGAGACUGACGCUGAGGCGCGAAAGCGUGGGGAGCAAACA